GCUUGUGCGGUUAAGGUUGUUGUAAACGAAAGGUACAUCUGAUAAUUUUAUCCUAGCUCGCGGAGCGGCAUACCGGGAAAGAAUUCAUUCCACAUAUCGAGGUCGGAAUGGGAUCGGGUUUCCCCAGGAAUGUAGUUGAACAUGCUAAACCUUUGUCGUAGCAUAUCCUGACGGCUUUCCUUCAUGUCCUCAUUACCCUCAUAUACCUCAAUCAAAGCUUCCUACAAAGCUUUUGCUGAAGUAUACUCUCUGAAACCUUGAGCUAUAUAAGGAGACAGAGCCAUGGUUAGAGUGGCCAAUGCCUUUUCUUGGUCUUCCACUUUCUCAAAAUCUUCAUCUGUGUAAUUUUCAAUAGCUUUUUCAAUUACUUGCCCUGCAAUAGUGGUAGUACUUCUGACAGGGUUCUUGAUGAUGCUUCUCCAGAUCUUGAAGUCCUUCAUUUUAAUGUACUUUACGAUCUGGUAUUUCUAUUCAGGAAAACCUUCUGCAGAUAAUAGUCUUGGAAUUCGUGUAGUGGUGCUCAUGACAGAAUCUAGCUCUUGAUGAUGUGCUUGACUUUGAGAAUCCAUUAAUUCUGAUUUUUUUUAAAACUUUAAGGGUUAAAAAAAAUAAAAAUAAAAACUGACAAAAUUUUAGUUUACGAGUAAACUAUGGUUUGGUGUUUACGGUUGGGGUGUUUAUAGUCGAUAGUUUGCGGUUAUUUAAGAUGUACUAAUUACAGUUUAAGAACACAGUUUAUGCCUCUUGAAUGUGCUUGAGUUUACGGCCGUUUACGGUCGUAAUUCCUUCGACGGUAAAUGUAACAUCCCAAAAAUACGGGCCAAAAAUUUCAUUUUUAAUUAAGUGAUUUGUAAAAGCGUUUGUAACAAAAUAUCAUAUGAUCAUAACAUUUGAUAAAACAUGUCUCGUGGCCGUAAACCAAAACAUAAAACAUGAUAAUGUCAGAGUACAAAAUCCCAGAAUUACUCAUGGUGCGGAAAACAAAAGAGCGUGUGUGAUACGACGCUACCGCGUCAGCUCCUUCCCCUUGACAUAAGAGGUACCUGAAACAACGUCUGAAAACCGUAAGCACGAAGCUUAGUGAGUUCCCCCACUGUACAACAUACCAUAUAAUCACAUAGCAUACAUAAUGCCAAACAAUUCUUGGGUGCCCGACCUACCCGGUAUGGCCAUUCUGGGGUGCCGACCUACCCAUGCGGGCAUUCUGGGGUGCCGUCCUGCCCGUGGUAAGCCAUUCUGGGGUGCUGACUACCCAUGUCAAGCCGUUCUGGGGUGCUGACUACCCUUCGGUCCUAACGACCGAACCUCGGGGACUGCUCCCCUCCUACUACCACUAACACAUAUAACAGAUCAUACUGGCAUAUAAACAUAUCAUCACAUACUGUUAGACAUAGCUGGGGUGUCUGACCUACCCUUCGGUCCUAACAACCGGACUCUACUACUAUCACAUAUCAUGCCAUCAUAUAACGUAUCAGGUAGUAGCAAACCUAGAUGAUAUCACAAAUACAAUCAUCUAACAUACAUCUCCUAAUGGUGGGACGGCAUUGUGGCUGUAGCCCCACCGCUACUAGAAGGUAACUCACCUCGAAAGUAGAUGUUGAAGUUUGCUUGCUAAGCGCCUGACUGCUGAAUCGACUAUAGUAUAUGUACAAACAUGUAAGUGAACUACUCCUUCGACUGGUCUGCCCGCCGUUUGGUUUGAGGGCCUACAUCGACUAUGCCUCCCGCUGACUGAGGGAAGCGAUCUAUCUAAUUUCGGGUCAUUUCUUGGUGAGCAUGAUCUACCAUAAUCUCUUCGAUCCCUUCAUUUAUGUGCCAGAAUAAAGAGAGAUUUGGUAGGAAAGUGGAAGAUACUUUUUUUAUAUGAUAAUCAAAGGGAGUGGGAAAGCUGCAGUAAUUCUGUGGAAAAGCCCGCUUCUCUUUGUCUUCGAGCUUGAAUUCUUCAAUCCACUGAUUCGUUCCUUCAUAUACCUCCCCACCAAUAGAUAGAGACAAAUGGGAAUAACCGAACCACGUCUACAAAAUGCCAGUACCAUGCAGCUGCUUCAAAGCCAACGUGAUGCUCCUUGGUCAGAUGACCAAGAUAUUGGCGAAUACCACAUAUGAUCGAGAAAAGAGUACCUAUAAUCACAUGAAAACCAUGAAAGCCAGUUGCUAAGAAAAAGGUAGAACCAUAAAUACUAUCCGAAAUUAUGGGGGCGCUUGAUAAUAUUCCAUUCCUUGAAAGGAGGUGAAUACUAGAGCCAGUGAAAUGGUAGCUACUAAAGUGUAAACUGCUCGUUUUUCCUUCCCCACGAGUAUAGCAUGAUGAGCCCAAGUUACGGCAGCUCCGUAUGAAAGGGGAAUAAGAGUAUUAAGAAAAGGGAUUUCCCGAGGAUCUAAAACCGCAAUCCCUUUUGGGGGCCAAAUACCUCCGAUCUCUACCGUAGGUGCCAAAGAAGAAUGAGAAGAAGCCCAAAAAAGAGCAAAAAGGAACAUAACCUCCGAAACGAUAAACAGAAUAAACCCAUAUCGAGGUCCUAAUUGUACGACUUUGGUAUGAUGUCCUUCAAACGUGGAUUCACGUAGAACAUCGCGCCACCAUACGAACAUGGUAUAUAGGAUAAAGAUUAGGCCCAAAUUGAGAAGUGUUGCACCCCCUUGAAAUGAGUGCAUGUACAUCACACCUCCUAUGGUGGUUGCCAAAGCUCCGAGUGAACCCGAAAUAGGCCAUGGACUUGGAUCUACCAAAUGAUAAGAGU
rnacentral:lncRNA from 1 species